rnacentral:rRNA from 1 species
CCUACGGGAGGCAGCAGUAGGGCAUCUUUCACAAUGGGCGAAAGCCUGAUGGAGCAACGCCGCGUGCAGGAUGAAGGCCUUCGGGUUGUAAACUGCUUUUAUAAGCGAGAAAUAUGAUGGUAACUUAUGAAUAAGUAUCGGCUAACUACGUGCCAGCAGCCGCGGUCAUACGUAGGAUCCGAGCAUUAUCCGGAGUGACUGGGUGUAAAGAGUUGCGUAGGUGGCAUAAUAAGUAGCUAGUGAAAUCUGGUGGCUCAACCAUUCAGACUAUUAGCUAAACUGUUAAGCUCGAGACCGUUAGGGGUAACUGGAAUGUCUAGUGUAGGAGUGAAAUCCGGAGAUAUUAGAAGGAACACCAAUAGCGUAGGCAGGUUGCUGGGACGGUUCUGACACUAAGGCACGAAAGCGUAGGGAGCAAACGGGAUUAGAUACCCGAGUAGUC